rnacentral:lncRNA from 1 species
GUAAAAUCAACAAUUCACAUAGACCGUUCAUAAGUCAAUUUGACAUAAACAAACCAAUACUAAGAUUCAAAUAAUAAUCUUAUUAGUAUUUUAGGAACAAUAUCAAUUACAUGAGAAGUCUCGCAAUCAACUUACAUAUAAAAAAAUUAUAGGCAAAUGUUAAUACAUUAGUAGAUUUUUCAAGUUUGAAUCCAUCACCUUCUGCUUAAAUUUACCUUUGGUGUCCCUUACAAAUAAUUUGUUUAACUUCACUUAGCACAUUUCACUAAUUAUUGGUAGUAAGUUAAAUUUUGUGAGUGCAAGUUUCUAUGAUAGACUUAGUGUUUUGACGUAUGCUAAAACUAUGUUUUAAUUAGAUGAUUUUGUGUACCUUUGUUGAUUCUUAAAUUCUCAAUAUCCACAAAUGUUCUUGAAAAAGAAAAACAAUUUUACAAUUUUAAUUUAGUAUGCAUAACUUUAGGAGCAUGCCACAAACAUGUUUGAAAGUCAUGCAAUGCAUUAAAAAUAUUUUCAAAGGGGAUUUUAACUUCAUAAAUUGACUCAUACAUGUGAAUUAACUUACAAAGAGCCUGAAAUUAUUUCAUGAUGCUUGGAAAAAGUGAACCAACUCACCAGGGUUGUGAUUCGACAUACCAAAUUUCCUCCAAGUUCAUAAGUUAACUUACACAUAUCAUGAAUCAAUUCAUGCAAUUCAAGAUUCAAAUAUUGGUUUUUUGAAAACUUUUUUAAUCGACUCAUACAUGUGUUUCAUUCAUUGAUUCACUCAAGUAUUAUAUCAAAAUUAUAAACUUUUUCUUGUGUGAUUGAAUUUUUGAGAGAUAAAUAUCAAAGGUCGGGUAUCCUUUGUAUGGAACAAUUGUUCUAUUGGUGAGCGAUUAGGGUUCAAUCGGAUGUGACAUGUAAGGGUUGAAAAUGAUGUUCUUUUUAGUGCUAGAGUUUGUAAUUAUUCUAGGGUGAUUCUAUCUUACAGGUUUGAAGGGGUUCUUCGUCUUGGAGAUAGCGGNNNNNNNNNNNNNNNNNNNNNNNNNNNNNNNNNNNNNNNNNNNNNNNNNNNNNNNNNNNNNNNNNNNNNNNNNNNNNNNNNNNNNNNNNNNNNNNNNNNNNNNNNNNNNNNNNNNNNNNNNNNNNNNNNNNNNGGUUCAGAUUAUUCUUAAAGGAUUUUUAGGAAAUAUGGUUCUUUAGCAUUUAGAGUAUAAGGAACUAAUGUACAAGCUAUGUAAACAAAUGCCGACAGAUCUAGUAACUUCCAUAUUAGAAUAAAGGAAAAAACUAUCAUUCAUUUUGAAUGAGAACUUUAUGUACUAUAUACAUAUUAAGGACACAAAUAGGAACUAAUAUGAAUAUUGGUGUGAUUUUUCCUUUCCAUUUUCUCUUUAAUUUAUGUAUGUGUUUGUUCAUAUUGAUUUUGAUAUUGGUGUUUGGAGACAAUCACAACUAUUUUCUAUUUGUCGUAAUUACAAUUUUGGUUUCCCUAUUUUUAUCAAUUUGCAGAAUUAAUGUCCCUAUUUUAAAAUCUAACAAUUUUAGUCCUCCACCCAUAUUUUUUAACUAAAUAGUGAUUUCAUGUAUUUAAAAUGAUGUGACAUACAUCACAUUAAGUAUUUUCGUCUAGAUGCAUUAAUUAUUUAUAAGUUAUUAAUUAAAUUAUAAAAAUGAAUCAUUUCAUAAUUUGAAACUAAAACUUCUAGAACAUUUUAUUGCAAUUUUAUGGGUAUUAAUAAUUCUACAUCAUGUAAUUGCAUGUCAUGCCACUUAAAAUAUGUUACAUCAUCAUUUUUUAAUUAAAAAAUAUGCACGAGGGACUAAAACUGUUAGAUUUUAAAAUAGAUGAAUCAAUUUCACAAAUUGUUAAAAAAAAAGGGAUUAAAAGUGCAAUUAAAUCUUUCUAUUUUAGAUAUAAAAACUUAAGUGUGGAAAAUUUUGUUUGUGAAAUCUCUUAAUGAUGCUGAAUGCAUUGUGAAUAUCUAUUUUAGAAAAGUUUCAAUUAUUAUGAAUUGUUUUUUAAUUGAAUUUUCCAUUGAUUAAGUUUUUCCAUCAAUUAGUAUAAUUAGUUUCAGUUUGAGAUUAAUUAUACACGUAAGUUGAAAUCAAUUAAUCAACAUCAUCCACAAAGAAUUCUAAUCACGACUUCAAUCAUAAAAAGAUUUUAAUCUAGAUUAUAAUCUUGAAUGCAUGAAACUUUAGGAAUAGUGAUAGUAUUCUUUAUAAUAUUAAAGGUUUAGAUUAGUAUAUAAAGAGACAUGAGUUAGUCGGUCAAAGUCUAAUGCAUCCUAACUGAAAUAACUACUUUGUAAUUGUCAAAAACUAACCAUUUAGAUUGUGUGAAUCAACUUAUAGAGGUUGUGAAUCAACUCCCAUGAGCCUUGAAAGUCCAGGAUUUCAUCCUAAACCAGUGUGAAUCGAUUUUUAGGUAUGUGAGUCGAUUCACAAAAUCUCCCAAAGUUGUGUUACUCGAUUCAUAAUUUUUAUAAGUUGGUUCACAAAACCUCUUGGAAUUGUGUGACUUGAUUCACAAGGUCUAGAACAUCAAGAAUGAGUUCAAGACCUCUGUAAAUCGAUUUACAAACCUAUGAGUUAAUUUUUAAAGUUAAAAAUUAGUUAAGAAUUAUUUUUUAAUGCAUUUCAAUGUGUGCCAACAUGUACCUAUCAUGCAACUAAGUUUAUGCUUGAUAAAGUAUGAUUUUCAUGUAACUACUUUUUUUCCUGAUUCAAAUGCAUUUGUGAAUGAUUGAUAAAUAAAAAUCAACCAAUGCAUACACUCAUCAUAUAACUAAAUAAGCUUAGUUUUGAUAUCUAUUAAAAUACUAAGUCUAUUAUUGGGAAUCCUACAAUUACACAAGCUAGUGUAAUCUAUUCCACCUUUACCAAUGAAAUCUAAACAAUGGAGCUAAGGUUUUUCAACUCAAAGAAGGAUCUAAUAAGUUACAUUACAGGUAGCAUGUCAUUUGUACUGCGUCGGAACUAAGAAGAAGUGUCAAGCCCUGAAAAAGUUAUGGAUCCCUUUAUAGUAGAUCUCAAAUUUUUAUCAUAUUGCAUAUUCGAUCCCAAUUAGUGCCAUUACAAAAAGAAAAAUAUAUAUCAAUUUGUAAGUGUUCAGUGAGCCAUAAAGUCUUCCUUACCUUGGAACGAUGUUGCAUCCCUUCAACUAUAAUUUUAUAAUUUUAGUGAUAAACAAAAUAAAGUCAUAGAGAAAGAGUGAAGGAAAAAGGAAAAAUCAAGGUAGACUUCCAAUAAAAUACAAAAGUGUUUCCAGUGUACAAUGCAAUAAUAAGAUAUGACAUUAAAGCCUCAAAAGCCUAAACUAUCUCCAAUAUAAUAUAUAUAAUCUAACAAUGACCACUAUGCUAUUAGUGGGGCAUUUGGAUACAUAUAAUAAAAAACAAUUAUAAAAUAAUAACUUAUC